rnacentral:rRNA from 1 species
CCUACGGGAGGCAGCAGUGGGGGAUAUUGGACAAUGGGGGAAACCCUGAUCCAGCGACGCCGCGUGAGUGAAGAAGCAUUUCGGUAUGUAAAGCUCUGUCAGCAGGGAAGAAAGAAAUGACGGUACCUGACUAAGAAGCCCCGGCUAACUACGUGCCAGCAGCCGCGGUAACACGUAGGGGGCAAGCGUUAUCCGGAUUUACUGGGUGUAAAGGGUGCGUAGAGGGCAGAACAAGUCUGGAGUGAAAUCCCGGGGCUUAACCCCGGAACUGCUUUGGAAACUGUGCGGCUGGAGUGCGGGAGGGGUAAGCGGAAUUCCUGGUGUAGCGGUGAAAUGCGUAGAUAUUAGGAGGAACACCGGUGGCGAAAGCGGCUUACUGGACUGUAACUGACGUUGAGGAACGAAAGCGGGGGGAGCAAACGGGAUUAGAUACCCGAGUAGUC